CACGGGUGAGUAACACGUAUCCAGCCUGCCGUCUACUCUUGGACAGCCUUCUGAAGGAAGAUUAAUACAAGAUGGCAUCAUGAGUCCGCAUGUUCACAUGAUUAAAGGUAUUCCGGUAGACGAUGGGGAUGCGUUCCAUUAGAUAGUAGGCGGGGUAACGGCCCACCUAGUCUUCGAUGGAUAGGGGUUCUGAGAGGAAGGUCCCCCACAUUGGAACUGAGACACGGUCCAA
rnacentral:rRNA from 1 species